rnacentral:rRNA from 1 species
CCAAUAGCGUAUAUUAAAGUUGUUGCAGUUAAAAAGCUCGUAGUUGAAUUUCGGGAUCAAUAUGUCGGUCGUGCCUUCGGUACGUACUGGUAUCAUUGGUCUCUCCUUUCUGACGAACCAUGAUGUCAUUAAUUUGGUGUUAUGGGGAGUUAGGACUGUUACUUUGAAAAAAUUAGAGUGUUUAAAGCAGGCUUUAGCUUGAAUACAUUAGCAUGGAAUAAUGAAAUAGGACGUUCGAACCUAUUUUGUUGGUUUCUAGGAUCAACGUAAUGAUUAAUAGGGAUAGUUGGGGGCAUUAGUAUUCAAUUGUCAGAGGUGAAAUUCUUGGAUUUAUUGAAGACUAACUACUGCGAAAGCAUUUGCCAAGGAUGCUUUCAUUAAUCAAGAACGAAAGUUAGGGGAUCGAAGACGAUCAGAUACCGUCGUAGUCUUAACCAUAAACUAUGCCGACUAGGGAUCGGAUGAUGUUAAUUUUUUAAUGACUCAUUCGGCGCCUUACG